UACGUAGGGUGCAAGCGUUGUCCGGAAUUAUUGGGCGUAAAGAGCUUGUAGGCGGUUUGUCGCGUCUGCUGUGAAAUUUCGGGGCUCAACCCCGAACUUGCAGUGGGUACGGGCAGACUAGAGUGUGGUAGGGGAGACUGGAAUUCCUGGUGUAGCGGUGAAAUGCGCAGAUAUCAGGAGGAACACCGAUGGCGAAGGCGGUCAACUGGCCCUAAACUGACGCUCAGGCACGAAAGCGUGGGGAGUCAAACAGG
rnacentral:rRNA from 1 species